AUUGAACGCUAGCGGGAUGCUUUACACAUGCAAGUCGAACGGAGUGGCGGACGGGUGAGUAAUAUAUCGGAACGUGCCCAGUAGCGGGGGAUAACUACUCGAAAGUGUGGCUAAUACCGCGUACUAUUGGAUGGGCCGAUAUCGGAUUAGCUAGUUGGUGGGGUAAGGGCUCACCAAGCCAACGAUCCCUAGCUGGUUUGAGAGGAGGACCCGGCACACUGGGACUGAGACACGGCCCGGACUCCUACGGGAGGCAGCAGUGGGGAAUUUUGGGCAAUGGGGGAAACCCUGAUCCAGCCAUCCCGCGUGUAUGAUGAAGGCCUUCGGGUUGUAAAGUACUUUUGGCAGAGAAGCGGUAUCUGCAGAAGAAGCACCGGCUAACUACGUGCCAGCAGCCGCGGUAAUAC
rnacentral:rRNA from 1 species